GGAUGAAUGCCUUUUGCCAUGUGUAAACGUCCUGUGGGCCACAUAUAGGGUAUUGGAGCAUGGAUGCAAAUUUUCUAACAAGAGAUGCUCCAAGAGGAAGCAUUGUGAUCCCUAUGGUCAAAGCCAGACAUAAGCUGGUCUUCUACAAGGAACACAUACACAUUCAAAAUAGCAAAAGCUCCCCUUUUUCUAAAGCAAGAAAAAUAAUGCUGGUGCUGUCUCUAAGUUGAUAUAGGCAGCAAAUUUAAAAACAUUUUACAGAUUUGCAGAUGUCUUUUGUCAUAGGAUUUCAAACCUAAAAUUUGUCAGGCAAACGCUAGGUAGUUUUCUUAGCAGACUAUUAUUUAAUAUCACAUUUUAAUGUGUCUAAACCUGUGGGAAGACCAGAGUUACC
rnacentral:misc_RNA from 1 species